AAUAGCGUAUAUUUAAGUUGCUGCAGUUAAAAAGCUCGUAGUUGGAUUUCGGGUGGGAAUGGCCGGUCCGCCGUUUCGGUGUGCACUUGCUACGCCCACCUUGCUGCCGGGGACGUGCUCUUGAGUUCACGCUCGGGACACGGAGUCGGCGAGGUUACUUUGAGUAAAUUAGAGUGUUCAAAGCAGGCCUACGCUCUGAAUACAUUAGCAUGGAAUAACACGAUAGGACUCUGGCCUAUCUUGUUGGUCUGUAGGACCGGAGUAAUGAUUAAGAGGGACAGUCGGGGGCAUUCGUAUUUCAUUGUCAGAGGUGAAAUUCUUGGAUUUAUGAAAGACGAACUACUGCGAAAGCAUUUGCCAAGGAUGUUUUCAUUAA
rnacentral:rRNA from 1 species